UAGAACUGACUUCCAACCGGAUAUUACCGAGAAUCAGGGGUCAGGAGUUCUCUCUUACAGCCAUCUUGGAUAUAACGUCCUGAGUUGCAAACAUGCCUGGCGAAGCCACAGAAACGGUCCCAGUCACCGAGCAGGAGAUGCAGCAGCCUCAAGCAGAGACUGCGAAUAAGACAGUGUCUUUGGAGAGUCCCAUGGCCUCAGAAAGCACUGUUUUGACUCAAGAGCUUGGCUCCCAAGAAGUAGCCAGUAUUGAGACUAUGGAGGAGCAACCAAAUGGUGUAGCUGUAACUCAAGAAAUCACCCAGCAAAUGCAAGUUUCCAGGCCUGAAGAAACUCCUGCCUCAGUGGAAGGUACUAAUGCUGCACCAGCAGGAAUGCCAGACGAUCGUGACGCAGUUCCUAACAACCAGGCUGAGAGUCAGGAGUUGGUGGUUGUUACAGAAGAAGUAAUCGGCCAUGAGAUUGGGCAUAUUUCAGCUGAAGUUAUGGGCUCCGGAGAAGAUCCAGCACCCAUGGCAGAAAACCAGUCUGACGAUUCAAAAAAAAUUGCUCUUGAAGUUCUUCCUACCACUGAAGAUGGGAAGGCUAGUGAUGUCCCAGAGACUGGGGAAGACAUCCAGAAGAAUUCUACCCUAGAAAUGGCUAAUGAUGAACCUCAAAUAUUUCCUGGUGAUGAAAAAGUUGAUGCUGCUACCCAAAACAAAACCUUGAAGAAAAACAACCUGUGCUACUUCUUUCUAAAGCCACUGAGUCAAAAGGGCCCUCAAAAUGUGAAGGUCCAUCUCUUUCCACACGCCACCUGUCAGGAUCUGGCACAGAGUCGGACAGUGAUGACUCUGUUCCAGAGCUGGAGGAACAGGACUCUGCUCAGACACAGACACAGCAAGCUCAGCUUGCAGCAGCAGCUGAAAUAGAUGAGGAACCAGUGAGCAAAGCCAAACAGAGCCGCAGUGAGAAGAAGGCACGAAAGGCAAUGUCAAAGCUUGGUCUCAGGCAGGUAACAGGAGUUACCAGGGUCACCAUUCGUAAGUCAAAGAACAUCUUGUUCGUCAUCACCAAACCAGACGUCUACAAGAGCCCCGCAUCAGACACAUACAUCGUC